CUGGAGCAGUUUUGAAAAAAAAUGGGCAGAGGGCACCAUGCUAAGCGCGGCCUGCUAGUGCUGAGCGCGCUCUACUAAGCCUACAUAUCCACUUUUACCAAAUACAUUUACCACUUUUGACCCAUUUUCUCAUGGUCCAUCAUUCAAAGUCAGAAUAUCCUCAUUCCUUCUCCCUUACACAAGCCCUAAUCUCCAUUCUCUCAAACCAUAAACCCUAGUCAUUGCAUUUUCCUCCCAAUCUUCUCUGCAUCUUCACUGUUUGCAUCAAUCAACAAGAAUGGCUCCAAAGAAAAUCACCGCUUCCAAGAAGCAAAAGACUGCUAUUGGCACAUUCUUGCACCCAUACCUAGACCCAGGAACUAUAACAUACACAAGUUUUUAGGGCCAGGACAAGAAGAGAGGUACAACAUGUUAUCCUACCAAAGUAUUUAGAUGGAGAGCACGUUCAGAAUAGAUCCAACAGGUGAUUUCAGGGACUGUGCUGAGAUCAUUACAUAGAGGAAUUCGUAAAAUCUGUUCAAUCCUCCGACAAAAUGUAACUAUGAGAUCAUCAAGGAGUUCUAUGCAAAUGAUAUCCCUAUCGAAGACCAACCUUACUCUUUCACCACCAUGGUCAGAGGGUGAGUUAUUUUUUUCAGUCGUGAUGCUAUGAACACAUACAUUGGUGAUCCUUUUACUUUGGAGGAAGGUGAGCUUGAUGAGUAUGCAAAGCGACUAACUCGAGGAGGUUUGAAUAUCAAUCUAGUUAUUGAUACACUUGUGUUAAGUGUAAAGUCUUAUGAGACCAAUGCUUCUGGUUCCCCUAAGAAUUUCCCGAGAAAGAAUUUGAGGACUAUGACUCAAGUGAUGAUGAUGUUGGUCAUUCACAACAUAAGGCCAAGAAGUGAUACAUCUUCGGUUCCUCUGGAUACUGCUUAUCUUUUGUACUACAUUUUGGAUUAUAGGCAGGUGGAUGUUGCAAGGAUCAUUCCUAAUGAGAUUAAGAUUAUCGAUGAAAGUGGUCAUAGAUUAGGGAGCAGAACUCCUUGCACUUUAGCUUUUCCAGAAUUUAUCACAGGGUUGUGCAUGAGGGCCCGAAGGGUAAUUCCAUCUCAGGUUCAAGAUACAGUCAGCGGUGUUAUGGAUGACCGAUAUAUUGAGAGAUUUUGUUUAGCAAAGAAUAUAGGCCAGGGAAGCACUUCAACCUCUCCAGUGCAGAAGCUAGGAUUUGAAGAUUGGGAUCCGAGACUUCAGGCAACCUUUACUCAUACUUGGGAUUAAAAUAAGUUUAACCAUUUAGAACAUAUUUCUCUUCAUGAUUCCAUGUACAAGGUGCAUGUGCAAAUGGGAGCACCACAUAGGUUGAUCUUCACUUGAGAACUCCAGAUGAAUUCCAGAAUUUUAUUGAUUGGCAUGGGGUCAGGCCAUUUGUUUAGGAGGACACACCUGAUGUGGAUGAUGAUGACGAUGAAAUUGAGGAUGUGGAAUUUUUGGUGGCAUUUCAUGUCACCAUAACUUUUUUUGGUGGUUUUUGGUACAUUCCAUAAAUAAAUCCUUUCACGGAAAAAGGAAGUGAAAAGAGCAAGAAUCAGAGAUUUUCAGUGGAAAAUACACACAUGGCGUUGGCCAUGUGGGUAGCCAUGAUGUGUAGGCUUUCACCCAUAUUUCAACGGUCACAAGACCACGUCUUCGUCACUUUGUGCACAUGGUAGACGUCAUGCCUAAAUGGUGGGCGCCAUCAUCCUAUUCUGCGCCCAGUCAAGGGAGGUUGCUAGGAAAAGGCGAUGACUAGAGAUUUUCUCUCCACAUGAAUAUCGAAAGUGUUAUGUAACCUCCGAGGCAUUAUUACACUAUAAAUAGGACAUAGGUUUUUAGUUAUAGGUAUCCAAGUCUAGUUACAACAUAGGCCACAAAAUCACACCGUUAAAGCAAUAAUUCUUCACACCUGAGGAUUAUUGCACCAUUGCUGUAAUCAAGUUUGGAGCACCGUAAAGUAGAAGUUAAUAUUGUCGUCAUUUUACUUUCAAAUCAGAUUUAUUUCAAGUUUGUA